rnacentral:lncRNA from 1 species
UAAAACUAAGGUGAUCUGGAAAGCUCUCUGAAUUUAACUUGUGUGUUUCAAAUGGAUCUAACCUGAUCCUUUGCUGUUUUGUAAUCUUGUACUCUGCUUCUACCGUUAAGUGGUCAUUUAUGUAUGUGAAAACUUAGGUACUGGAACAUCUGUUGAGGCCUUGGAUAUGUGUAUCUGUGUGUUUGGGAUCUACCGUUUUUUGGUUGGAGAUGUUCAAGAAUUGGAUGAAACCCUGUGAGCUGCUUACCUGGUUUCAAGAUUACAAAGAAACUGCGGAGCACUAAUGGAACUGUCAAGAGGAAAAACACCAGCAGACCACAUGAAACCUAGCAGAAGGUCCCCUGGCAGAGCUGCAGGAGCAAAGGCUCAGAACAGGCACCAGGGAAGGGAAGGCAGAAGAGACAACAGUGCGAGAAUGCUGGAACGGAAAAAAUGGGAGCCAGUUACCCUCAGGAGUAUUGGUACUGACAUUUCGGUGGCAGCUGUAAAU